ACAGACAGCCAGGAUGUUGGCUUAGAAGCAGCCAUCAUUUAAAGAAAGCGUAAUAGCUCACUGGUCGAGUCGGCCUGCGCGGAAGAUGUAACGGGGCUAAACCAUGCACCGAAGCUGCGGCAGCGACACUAUGUGUUGUUGGGUAGGGGAGCGUUCUGUAAGCCGUUGAAGGUGUGCUGUGAGGCAUGCUGGAGGUAUCAGAAGUGCGAAUGCUGACAUAAGUAACGAUAAAGCGGGUGAAAAGCCCGCUCGCCGGAAGAC
rnacentral:rRNA from 1 species